AUCUAGAAACAAAACCACUAGUUUCAACUUUCAUUCUUAACAGUUCGGAAAUCAUGAGGUGUUAAAGGGUUGUGUCAUUUUUUCCUAUAUGCCAGCAAUACAAAGAUGAGGACAAAGCAACAGUGCUGGAACAUGAUGAACAAAAAGACACAAAUGUCAAACAAAAAGACACAACAGCCGAAUUACAAAGUCUGGUUAUACAAAUGUAUACAAAUGAUUUUACAAUUUAUAAGAAACUCUCUUUGUUUUGCACCAAAGUUUUUUACUCUUAAAUGUUAUACUUAUGUAUAUUUUGUAUAUAUUGUAAGAAUUUUAGUUCUUUUGAUGUUCAUGUUUCAUGUUCAUGAGUUAUUUAGAUUUAAAUAUAUAUUUAUAAAAUAUUUUUGACCUGUUACUGGUAAUUUUUUACCAAGUGUAAUAGGUACUGGUUAGCGAGUAUUUCUCUGACUAAAGAUAGGCUUUUUCUUGUAUAACUAACUUAAUAAUACAAUAUAUUGUAUGAACAAUUUAUGGAGACAUCCUGGUUUGGACAUAUACAAGCACAUGUAAACAAAACAUUUUUUGAUGUGCGCAUACAUAUGUACAAUGGCUGUAUAUAGGUUAAUUAAAGGGAGGUAAUUUUCCACUGUACAGGGGUAUUUACCUGACAAAAUUGAAAAAUUGGUAACAAAUUUUAGCAACUGCCUUCUACAACUGAUGGACGCGAGCAACUUGACUAACCCUCCCACUUCCGCUCCAGACAAAUACACAACAACCACAUACAAUAUACUCAACAUAAUCCUCUACAGAUCGCCAUCAUAAGUACCAGAGCACAUUAAUGUCACAUUUGGCACUCUGUGAACUAAGACAAAAUGCAACUGCAUCUUAAUGACUGACAGAUGCAAACAACUCGACCAACCCUUCCACUUCCGGCCAGGCAUAUACACAUCACCCACAUACAAUAUACUCAACAUCUGACACUCUGGGAGCUGACACAAAACGCAACUGCAAUUUAUGACUGACGGACACUAACAACUUGACCAACCGUCAACUUCCGACCAGGCAUAUACACAUCAUCCACAUGCAAUAUACCGGUACUCAACACACUCCACCUCAGAUCACCAUCACAUGUUCCAGGUUAAGGUCUCAUUGGCCAUCGUGCACUGAUUUAUUUGGAUAAAAAAAAUAUUCUUUGGUGAAUACCCGGACAGCCUGGGUAAAUUUGACCUAACUUGGCUCAAAAUUAAUUAGUUUCAUGGUCUUACUUUUUUUCUGUUUAAGGUACACAUGAACUGUUUUUCAUCUAAAAAUAAUUAACAAACAAUGCAUGUUCCGUCUGUUUGCUCAUAUAUUUAGCUGGUAAGAAUCAUAUGAUGGUGAAAUCCUUAUGAACAUACAGUUUGUCAACCAGUUCCGGAUAAUCAGCAUUUACGAUUAAUUUGUAUUUAAUUUUCCAUAAUGCUCCAAUAAAAACAAAAUGAUAAGUGUCUAAGAUAUACAUUAGGUAAAGGAAUAAAUUAACAAAGUUUAAGCAAGAAAGCUUUUGUAUUAUGCUGACAGCAGGGAUAAAUGCAGCAAAAAGUUAACCGGAGCUGAUUGAAUAAGUUAUGUUAUGAAAUGUGCAUAUGGAUAUAGAAGGCUUUAUUAUUUUCAAACAAAUGUUUUGCUGAUUGAAAACAAAUGUCAUGAAAAUGUUUUGAAAUACUACGGUAAUUCUGUAAGUUGAAUGAUUUUUAAUAAUUUUCCGAAGGGUGAACUUAAAAUGGCUAUUUUUGACAAAAACUGCAUAUGUCGUCUGGCCUAACCUGUUAAACAAAAUAAAUUUUACCCUUUAUUUUUA